GAUGAACGCUAGCGGCAGGCUUAAUACAUGCAAGUCGUGGGGCAGCAGGGGUAGCAAUACCCGCUGGCGACCGGCAAACGGGUGCGGAACACGUACGCAACCUUCCUUUAACUGGAGAAUAGCCCCUCGAAAGAGGGAUUAAUACUCCGUAACAUGUACAUGUGGCAUCACAAGUACAUUAUAGCUCCGGCGGUUAAAGAUGGGCGUGCGCCUGAUUAGAUAGUUGGCGGGGUAACGGCCCACCAAGUCUGCGAUCAGUAACUGGUGUGAGAGCACGACCAGUCACACGGGCACUGAGACACGGGCCCGACUCCGUACGGGAGGCAGCAGUAAGGAAUAUUGGUCAAUGGACGCAAGUCUGAACCAG
rnacentral:rRNA from 1 species